GGGCGACUAGCUCAGCUGGUAGAGCAACAGACUCUUAAUCUGUGGGUCCGGGGUUCGAUUCCCCGGUCGCUCA
rnacentral:tRNA from 1 species